GUGAGUCAUCGAAUCUUUGAACGCACAUUGCGCCCGCCAGCAUUCUGGCGGGCAUGCCUGUCCGAGCAUCAUUUCAACACUCGACGUCCCCCGGGACGUCGGCAUUUGGGAUCGGCAGCACACCGCCGGCCCUCAACACGAGCGGCGGCCCGUCCGCGGCGACCUCUGCGCAGUACUCCAACUCGCUCUGGGAACCCGACGCGGCUUGCCGUAAAACAACCAACUCGUAUCGUUGAUCUCGGAUCAGGUAGGACUACCCGCUGAACUUAAGCAUAUCAAUAAGCGGAGGA
rnacentral:misc_RNA from 1 species